rnacentral:rRNA from 1 species
AGAGCGAACGCUGGCGGCAGGCUUAACACAUGCAAGUCGAACGGAUCCUUCGGGAUUAGUGGCGGACGGGUGAGUAACACGUGGGAACGUGCCUUUAGGUUCGGAACAACACAGGGAAACUUGUGCUAAUACCGGAUGUGCCCUUCGGGGGAAAGAUUUAUCGCCUUUAGAGCGGCCCGCGUCUGAUUAGCUUGUUGGUGAGGUAAAGGCUCACCAAGGCUACGAUCAGUAGCUGGUCUGAGAGGAUGGCCAGCCACAUUGGGACUGAGACACGGCCCAAACUCCUACGGGAGGCAGCAGUGGGGAAUCUUGCGCAAUGGGGAAACCCUGACGCAGCCAUGCCGCGUGGAUGAUGAAGGUCUUAGGAUUGUAAAAUCCUUUCAGCGGGGACGAUAAUGACGGUACCGCAGAAGAAGCCCGGCUAACUUCGUGCCAGCAGCCGC